CACCAUGCUCCAAUAUAUAUUGUUAUGGAAGGGAGUGAACCGCCUUUCUUCACUCGUCAUUUCAGUUGGGACUCCAUUAAAUCUGCUAUGCAUGGGAACUCAUUCCAAAGAAAGCUCACACUAGUGAAGAAUGGGGGCCCUCUACCAAUGGAUAAACCUAAAAGGAGAACACCUGUCUCAUAUGGUGG